GUAGUCUGUUUAUUAGAUAAGGAAGUUGUGGGUAUUACUUUUGGUUUUGAGAAACUAAAACGGAGAGUUCCUGAAAAUAGUUUAGGUGGCAAGAGUAAGUUUUUGGAAUAUGGACUUCUGUAUUAGCCCAUUCUCAUGCUGCCAAUAAAGACAUACCCGAGACUGGGUAAUUUAUAAAGGAAAGAGGUUUAAUGGACUCAUAGUUCCACAUGGCUGGGGAGGCCUCACAAUCAUGGUGGAAGGUGAAGGAGGAGCAAAGUCACAUUUUACAUGGUGGCAGGUAAAGAGAAUGCUUACGCAGGACAACUCCCAUUUAUAAAACAAUUGGCUCUUGUGAGACUUACUACCAGGAGAACGGUAUGGGAAAGACCCACCCCCAUGAUUCAGUUACCUCCCACUGGGUCCCUUCCACGACACCUGGGAAUUAUGGGAGCUAAAAUUCAAGAUGAGAUUUGGUUGGGGACACAGCCAAACCAUAUCAACUUCUAAUAUGGUACUCUAACAAAGUCUGUCAUAGUAUUUGUUAUUAAAUGCAAUGACAACUUGAGGGAACCUUGUGUGAAAAACAUGGUAUCAAGAAACACAAAAGUGACCUACUCCAGACAAGAUGAACUCACCUAAUGGGGGCUAACUAAUGCAAAGUACAACAUGAUUGAUUAUCACUGAGGAAGAAUAUAAGAGCUAGGGUGUUUACUUGAGAAUAGAAAUCACAUCUGGCAGAAGGGACAAAGACAUACUUCAUGGAGAAAUUCACAUUGGAGAUUAUUUGUAUGGAAACCUGUGGAGACAUUGCAGAAAGCAUUUCAUACAGAAUAAUGUGAUGCAAACAAAUUACACAGUAAACUAAACUACCAUAUGGCUGAGAAGCAGGUGGUGACAGUGGCCAACACUUAUGAAGUGCUAUGUGACAGGCACCAGUCUAAAUUUUGAACAUGAAUUUAUUUAAGCCUCAUAGAGAUGCCCUAAGGCAAAUGCUAUUAUGAUCCCCAUUUUUACUGACAAGGAAAAUAAGACAUAGGGAAUUGAAACAGUUUACAAACAGGAAAUGUGGCUCCAGAACAUGCCCUCUUAACCAGGGCGCUAUACUGAUUCCUGCUAAACUUGCAUCAUCUGAUGGCCUGUGCAUCCAAAGAACUGAGGUUAUUUUUAGGAAGAAAGAACAGUGCUCUGCUGUAUACAGUGAGGAGCAAGGAAAGCACGUCCCACACACAGACCCACAGAUAAAUGGGUGUGGAGAGAAAAAUAGUUAUUUAGAGAUGAUAGCCAGGUUUCAGUUAAAACUAGAAGAAUGGCUCUGUGAGACAGGCCCUCCACUCUCCUGUAGAUCCUGUUGUAAGUGAUGCAGAAGCCAGAGAGAAGGUUGCUCUCCAUCGGAAACAUGAGGAGUUUCGGAGACCUCCCUAAAAUAUUUGGCCUGAAAGGGUUUGAAGCCAGGAGGAGAGAUGCAGUCUUAGGAGAAACGUUUCAUGAGCUGUAGCAGCUCUCCAACCAUAUCCCCGACACAUACCCACACACUGCCUGCCCGCACGUAAGCACAAGUAUUUCUGGGGAUCAUGAGCAUGAGAACUUUAGGGGUAUUGCUAGGAAAAGAAGGAAGAGAGUAAGUAGGAAGACUGAAGACAGAGAAAGGAACCACCAGAAAGAGUAGAAAAAAAGAGAGGAAUCCUUUCUUCACAUACCAGUGACUCUAAGAAUACCUUUCUCCAUUAAAAUAAUAUCUCAUCCAGGAGGCACGUUCAAAUGAAAUACACGUGGAAUACUGAUAUGAAAAGACAGA
rnacentral:lncRNA from 1 species